rnacentral:rRNA from 1 species
CCUACGGGUGGCAGCAGUGGGGGAUAUUGCACAAGGGGGGAAACCCUGAUGCAGCGACGCCGCGGGUGGGAAGACGGUCUUCUGGAUUGUAAACCACUGUCCCCAGGGACGAAAAUGACGGUACCUGGGGAGGAAGCUCCGGCUAACUACGUGCCAGCAGCCGCGGUAAUACGUAGGGAGCAAGCGUUGUCCGGAAUUACUGGGUGAAAAGGGAGCGUAGGCGGGGAUGCAGGUUGGGUGUCAAAACUACCGGCUCAACCGAUAGUCGCACUCAAAACUGCAGCGCUUGAGUGAAGUAGAGGCAGGCGGAAUUACUAGUGUAGCGGUGAAAUGCGUAGAUAUUAGGAGGAACAUCAGUGGCGAAGGCGGCCUGCUGGGCUUUUACUGACGCUGAGGCUCGAAAGUGUGGGGAGCAAACAGGAUUAGAUACCCCUGUAGUC